GCCUAUGCAUUUCGUCUGAAGGAGCAGCCACAGGUGGCAGAAACAGAUUUGCUAACUGGUUGUGUAGAAAUAGCUACAGCUGGUUGGGAUUUUUUUUUUUAAGACAGCUGAAAAACAGAGGUGGAAGGAGGUGUGCUUCUUUCUGCAAGAGGAAUUCAAAGCUCCUCUUGGUGUCAAAGAAGUCAGCACAACUCUCACUCCCAAUGUCUGAUACCAAGGGGAAAAAAGACUGCCAAGGAAUAAUGUGGUGUUUCCAGCUUGUAUAGUCCCACCAAAACAAGCAGCUAAGCAAGAUUGCUUUCCAGCUUCAAACUGUGAUGUGUGGAGGAAAUAAAUUCUUCAUGUGUUGCUGGUUCAAAUCACUGGCCUCCAAGAAUCCUGUAGCUGGAAAUGCUGAAGACAGACAUCUCUAAUGGGUCGUUUUGGACAGCCUCCUGCCAGGAUAUGAUUAAUCCCUCCAGAGCUACGUUAGUGCUUGAUGAACAGCAAUGCUAUCUACAAGUACACAAUGUUGUCCAUAAACAUAGAUGAGCAGAAAGAAGAUACUGGUGCCUGUGGUCAACAGAUACCCUCCUCUGUCACCUCUGCUUUUAUUCUGUGUUGCCUUUAAUUUUAUUCCUCAUGUUGGAUAGACAGGAAAAGAAAGGAUUAUUUGAAAUAGUCCAUAAGAGACCAAAGUCCUUAAUUUAUCAAUUUGUGUUGGUUUCAUUGUGUUUGCUUCUCAGACAUCUGCAUGUUUUUCCUAAUGUGUUGUGGGGUCUUUUUCUCUGAGUGUAUCUGUGGAUUUUGUAGGAUGGGAGAUGUUUGGUCACCUAUUAGUAGACUUGGUGCAUCCCUCAAAGGAUAUCUUGUUUGAUCAACAGGUUGCUCCUGGUUCUUGGAAGCUUAUGAGUUCUCACUAGCACCAUUGGAGUACACUACUGGCUGUUUUUCCAAUGAGAAGUUUUAAUAAGAUUGUUUCAGUCAGGGUGGAGUCUAUAAUCUUAAUUUUUGAGAGCAGUAGAGUGAUUUCUUGGAGUGAUGGUAAAUGUCUUUGUUACCUUUACGAAGUGUUGAGCCUAUUGGAGAAAUUUUUGAACCUACUCCUAAGAUACUGCUGGACCCACCCCAGCUGGUAAAAUCAUCUGGUAGGGUGAGACCCAUGUGAGGGAAGGGGAUUGUCAGUACUAGUCUUCAGUGUUCACUUUUAAUGAAUUUUUUCAAGCUUUUAGUAUUGUCUCUCUCAAUCUGCAAGUCCUUUAGAGUCCUUAAUAGUUUCUGUCUAUGCCCAUGGCAGUAGCUAUGAAUGUUUUAAUCUAAUCUACUUGGUGAUGAAGCUGUAUUCAAUUUCAUCUCAAGAUUAGAUCUCUGCAAUGCACCUACAUCCAGUUGAACCCUGUGACCAGAGCCAAACCUCAACUGUGUUUUAUUUGCGUUGAGGCACCCCAUUAACAGCCAACAAUGUCUACACUCCACUACUUGAAAAAUAUUUUUAGUCUAUUUUUUGCAUUAAAUAGUUAUGAUCCUUGCUGUAGAAACCAUCUCAGGUUUUUUUUAUUCUGUAUCAGUGAAGAUAAACUGAUGUGCCUUGAGGGAUCAGGAAGGAGGGUGUCGGCCUGGGAGCUGAUGGAGAGCUCCCUGGCUGGUGGAGAUACGCAUCUUAUAGUCUGUGCAGAACUGUAGGCUCUCAGGUGACUCUGCAGAAUUCAAGUUUACCCAAGUUUUUGGAAGGGAGGGGAGAUGCCAAUAGGAUAUGAUGACAAGGCAUUGGUUUGUUUUCAGCUGUGAUGAUCUAAGAGUAUCUUUGCUCUGGUAACAGUUAGUGAUGACUAACUGUGAAUCUAGAUAAGUGUGUUUUUAUAUUCUGAGAUAUUAAGGAAUAGGCGUGCUCUGCCCAAGCUCAAAUCCUUCUCAAAAGGCAAUUUCUCCAUUCUACUUGUUACACUUAAUGUGCUUGGGGUUAUACUUUCAUGUAUCUAAUUAAAUUAUUCUUAAAGAACAUCAAAAUGUAUGUGAGAGAUGAUGUUUUCUGUUGCUAGCUAGCAAUGUUUUGUAGUUCCCCAAUUACAGUUUCAAAUAUAUUUAUUGUAGUAGGUGAUAUUUAAGGCUAAAUGGUCUAUUGUUUACAUCUUGUGUGUGUUCCUUUUGCUGCUUCCCUGAGCAAAGUAUGACAGUGUAACACAUCCUCUGGAGGCUCACAGCUAAGGAAAAGUUGUUUCUCUAUUAAAAAAAUACUUCUUCCUCUGUGGUAGUCUUAGAAGGAAUCCGAUUUUCUAAGUUUGGUUAAAGUGCUACACGCAUCACUUUUAAAAUAGCAGCCCUUUAUUUUAGGAAAAUAAUUCAAUUCAUGAUGUUCUGCUUCCCCCUCCUGAACUGAACUUAGAUAUGAAUGGGACGUGAGUACUUGGUGUCCUGAAAUGAAAUAUUUUUCUCAGCUGGAGCCCAUGUGCAGUGAAGAAACAGCAUGGGUGGGGCAAAGUUUUGUUUUGUUGGUGACCUAGGAGAUGUGCAGAGAGGACAGCCUGGACAGUUUUAACAGAGCUCCAAGAGAACUUACAGAACUUGUCCAGAGCCCAGUUCUGUCAGUGGCAGAAGUCCCCCUCAUUCAGAAGGAGCAGGCUCAGGCUCAGUGUUUGUAAAACAUAUGCUCAUCAUCCCCAGGCUUCUUACACCUAUAAUAUUUCAUAUGACUUUUCUCUGAAAUGACACUUCUUAUUUGUUGAGCAGAAUUGCCUGUUUUUCUCCUUGGUGCAUAUAUACAAAGUACCUUUUCUUUUUCUUAUCUUUUUAGGUAGGAUUUUCUAUCAGCAUAUUUUAUUUGGGAAAUAGCAGGUGACACUUAUGGAUCUUCCCCUUUCCUUUUUUUUCCUGAAGAAAAACACCCACAGCAUAGAACACCCUUGGAAAAGUCAAGCAAGAACCUGUAUGCUGUGAUGUGCUGUACUAACAAAUGUAUUCUAGUGCACAUUGAGCAACAUAAAUAUGUAAAUGUUUUACAACAUGUGUACUUACAUAUCCUACCUUCUUUUAUCUUCUUGCUCUGCAUACACAAAGUUACAUAUAUCUGGUAGAGUCUGCUCUGUUAACAAUAAUGCUGAAUAUGUAAAUCCCCCCAGUUUUUACAACCAGUGCUUUAGGUUGCAUUUACUGUAAACAAAGAUGUAUUUUUGGGGGCUGUUGGUUUGAGUUUAUUGUUUAUGUAAAUCUCUCAGAAUGUGACAUAGCCAGAUAGCUUCCUAUGUUGUGCUGAUCCACAUUUUAGGCCAGCAGCCAAAGUAUUUUAUCUUUUACUUCAUUAUAGUGAUCUUCCAAUUAGCUGUGGUCUGUAAUACCCUGAUUUUGGUGGCAGUGGUUUGGGGAGGAUUGUUUGAUAGUUCUGCUCGAGAGGCAAAAUGAGGGGCCUUAUUAUAGAAAGUGCAGAGGUUGUGCAGUAGCUGAGUUCUGUUGCAAAGUUUGCCGAUAAGGGAAAACUGGCCCUUGAGCAUCCAUUCUAUUCUGUAUAUUAACACUUCUAAUCUGCACUGCUGAUAAAACUGCAAGCCAUUUGCCUUUGGAGGAAUUAGUUCUGCCUCACUUGUGUAACCAGGCGAUGGUGAUUAACCUUUAAACUGUCCAAUAUUCUCAGCAGACUCCUGCUCCAGAUUAGAAACUAUUUAGUUAUGACCAACUAAAUUAACAACAUUCCCUCCUCUGAAGAAUAAGAUUUGGAAGGUAUGCAUUUUAAGGUGGAAUGUGGAUAAUGUCCUUAUUUAUUCACUCACCACUUUUGCUACAAAAAAUGUAUUCAUCAGUUGAAAAGAAAGGGAAAGGAGAGAGGGAGUUCAAUUUCAGAUUGAAACAAUCUACAGUUAGUUACGUACAGGAGGUGAUUUGGGUGAUUUUGACUUGGGGUGCUGCUUUAGAUGGCUGAGACCUGUUUCUGACUUUUCAUUCUUAAAUAAAACUUACAGGGCAGGGGAUAAAAUGGGCAGGUUGGUGCUCUGGUGUGGGCAGCAUUUUAGGAAAAAGAUUUCCUUCCUUUGAAAGGAAAGGCAAUUAUCUCAAUUCUCCAGAAGAGUAAUUAUUGGAAGAUUGCUAACCUUUCUGUCACAAUCAUGCAAAACAAAAGGUUUUGUACGUGGUGGUUACAGACCGACAUAUCCAAUGGACUUUAGCUGCUGUGAUAACCUAGUACUGUACCAUUGUAUCUACAUAUUUUAAAUGUGUAAUUUAUCAGUUGAAACAUACCCUUCAAUACAUGUGCCAUAAAAGAAAAGAGUGAGGGCAAUUAUGUAAUAGUAUAGUGUUUGUCUGACAUGCCUUAAAUCCCCAUAUUGUUAUUCCUCACUGAAUAACAAAUACAAAAUCCCUGUUAGCAAUGUUUUCCGUUUUACCAGUUUUAUAUUAGCUGCCUCCUUAAAAAUUGCUAAUCUAGAUACUACAUUAGUAGGAUGUCAGUCAAACUGCAAUCCACAGUGAAGCCUUCUUCAUAUACCAAUUUAAAUCAUUCAUGGUCCUUUCUUUGGCAUUAUUCAAAAGAUCAUAAUAAUUUUCUUGUGCCCACAGCACAAAAAAAUCAAUUAUUUCCCCACAAAGACUUGAAAGUACUUAGCGAAUGCUGUAAGAAAAGCUGAGGGUUAUAUCAAAUUGAAAUUGCACUCAUUACACACAACACAAUUAGUUGCCACUAGUCUGGCCGGUGCUUUAAUUCUGAAUGGCAUAUCUUUAUUAUUACAGAAACAAGCAUGCAAAUGGCAUUGUUCAGGAUUUGCAGAAAUCAAUAGGAUAUAGUGCUGUGUGUUUGGUGGCCACUGUCACUCAGUCUGCUGUGGAUUUGAGAUAAUGUGUGUAUUUGAAUUAAUGAAGGGAACGUGAGACAUCAUAAGUGACACCCAAAUAAAAGAAAUGGGUACAUGAUAUUUGUAAUUAU